UUCCAGCUGACGAGUCCCAAAUAGGAUGAAACGUGCAUCAAACAGGAU
rnacentral:hammerhead_ribozyme from 1 species